rnacentral:rRNA from 1 species
AACGUAGGAGGCAAGCGUUGUUCGGAAUUACUGGGCGUAAAGGGCUCGUAGGCGGCCAACUAAGUCAGACGUGAAAUCCCUCGGCUUAACCGGGGAACUGCGUCUGAUACUGGAUGGCUUGAGGUUGGGAGAGGGAUGCGGAAUUCCAGGUGUAGCGGUGAAAUGCGUAGAUAUCUGGAGGAACACCGGUGGCGAAGGCGGCAUCCUGGACCAAUUCUGACGCUGAGGAGCGAAAGCCAGGGGAGCAAACGGG